UACGUAGGUGGCAAGCGUUGUCCGGAAUUAUUGGGCGUAAAGAGCAUGUAGGCGGUCCUUUAAGUCUGGAGUGAAAAUGCGGGGCUCAACCCCGUAUGGCUUUGGAUACUGGGGGACUUGAGUGCAGGAGAGGAAAGGGGAAUUCCCAGUGUAGCGGUGAAAUGCGUAGAUAUUGGGAGGAACACCAGUGGCGAAGGCGCCUUUCUGGACUGUGUCUGACGCUGAGAUGCGAAAGCCAGGGUAGCGAACGGG
rnacentral:rRNA from 3 species